CGGCGGACGGGUGAGUAAUGCCUAGGAAUCUGCCUGGUAGUGGGGGACAACGUUUCGAAAGGAACGCUAAUACCGCAUACGUCCUACGGGAGAAAGCAGGGGACCUUCGGGCCUUGCGCUAUCAGAUGAGCCUAGGUCGGAUUAGCUAGUUGGUGAGGUAAUGGCUCACCAAGGCGACGAUCCGUAACUGGUCUGAGAGGAUGAUCAGUCACACUGUAACUGAGACACGGUCCAGACUCCUACGGGAGGCAGCAGCC
rnacentral:rRNA from 1 species